GGCGAGGUAAGAGCUCACCGCCCCUACGGUAACGCAGGGGGCUGUGUAAACCCCACCCGAAGCAAGAUAGGAACGCGUGUGUAAGCGCUACGCGGCGCGCGUUUGUUUUAUUCGCUUGAACUUACAGGCGACUGUAAGUCUAGAUAGAUAGCCGUAUUAAACGACAGAACCCGGCUUAUAGAUUUGCUCGCACC
rnacentral:RNase_P_RNA from 1 species